UACGUAGGGUGCGAGCGUUAAUCGGAAUUACUGGGCGUAAAGUGUGCGCAGGCGGCCGCGCAAGUCGAGUGUGAAAGCCCCGGGCUUAACUUGGGAAUUGCGCUCGAAACUACGUGGCUGGAGUGUGGCAGAGGAAGGUGGAAUUCCACGUGUAGCGGUGAAAUGCGUAGAGAUCAGGAAGAACACCGGUGGCGAAGGCGCUCUGCUAGGCCGCAACUGACACUGAGGGACGAAAGCUAGGGGAGCGAAUGGG
rnacentral:rRNA from 1 species